GACGAACGCUGGCGGCGUGCCUAAUACAUGCAAGUGGGACGCAAGGAAACACACUGUGCUUGCACACCGUGUUUUCUUGAGUCGCGAACGGGUGAGUAACGCGUAGGUAACCUGCCUAUUAGCGGGGGAUAACUAUUGGAAACGAUAGCUAAUACCGCAUAAUAUUAAUUAUUGCAUGAUAAUUGAUUGAAAGAUGCAAGCGCAUCACUAGUAGAUGGACCUGCGUUGUAUUAGCUAGUUGGUAAGGUAAGAGCUUACCAAGGCGACGAUACAUAGCCGACCUGAGAGGGUGGUCGGCCACACUGGGACUGUGACCCGGCCCAGGCCCCUUCGGGAGGCCGCAGUAGGGAAUCUUCGGCAAUGGACGAAAGUCUUACCGAGCAACGCCGCGUGAGUGAAGAAGGUUUUCGGGUCGUAAAGCUCUGUUGUAAGUCAAGAACGUGUGUGAGAGUGGAAAGUUCACACAGUGACGGUAGCUUACCUGAAAGGGACGGCUAACUACGUG
rnacentral:rRNA from 1 species